GACGAACGCUGGCGGCGUGGAUUAGGCAUGCAAGUCGAACGGUAUCAUCCUUUCGGGGGUGAGAGAGUGGCGAACUGGUGAGUAACACGUAGGUUAUCUACCCUCAAGACGGGGACAACCCAGGGAAACCUGGGCUAAUACCGGAUGUGAGCAACUUUUAGUUGUUUGAAAGGUGGCGUAAGCUGUCGCUUGGGGAUGAGCCUGCGUCCUAUUAGUUAGUUGGUGAGGUAACGGCUCACCUAGGCAAUGAUAGGUAGGCGGCCUUAACGGGUGGUCGCCCACACUGGGAUUGAGAUACGGCCCAGACUCCUACGGGAGGCAGCAGUCGAGAAUAGUCUACAAUGGUCGGAAGACUGAUAGUGCGACGCCGCGUGAACGAUGAAUCCCUUCGGGGUGUAAAGUUCUUUUAUAUGUGAGCAGUGCUUCUUAUAUUAACAGUAUGGGGAGAGAGAUAUUAGCAUAUGAAUAAGCAACGGCUAACUCCGUGCCAGCAGCCGCGGUAAACUUGU
rnacentral:rRNA from 1 species